rnacentral:tRNA from 1 species
GGCCCGUUGGUCAAGUGGUUAAGACACCGCCCUUUCACGGCGGUAACACGGGUUCGAAUCCCGUACGAUGUCG